ensembl:lncRNA
GUCCAACUACCUGGACUGGAACCCCACCCGCCCAGGUGGACGGGAACCCCACCCACACGGAGGUGUGGACGGGAACCCCACCCGCACGCAGGAGGUGGACGGGAACCCCACCCGCACGCAGGAGGUGGACCGGAACCCCACCCGCACACAGGAAGUGGACGGGAUCCACACCAGCACGCAGGAAGUGGACGGGAACCACACCCGCACGCAGGAAGUGGACGGGAAGCACUCCGCACACCCUGUCCCGCCCUCUGAGCAGCCCCUGUCCUAACGUCUGGUCACCUCCUGUCCUGACAUCCGAUCACUUCCUGUCCUGACGUCUGCUCACUACCUGUCUCGAUCGACUGCAGAAAUAAAAAAAUAUAAUAAAAGGAGAACACCUGUUUUAUAAUGUUAGGAUAUCCUAUUAAAUGGUUUUAUAAUGUUAGUGUGUGUGUAUUAAAUGGUGUGUGUGUGUGUGUGUGUGUGUGUGUGUGUGUGUGUGUGUGUGUGUGUGUGUGUGUGUGUGUGUGUGUGUGUGUGUGUGUGUGUGUGUGUGUGUGUUGUCUGUCAUGUAGGAGGAGGGUCGACCUGAGAUAUUGAUCCACUGGUCAGAUAAUUUAACUUCUAACAGCUCACUGCCAGACUCCUGGUACUACUCUCUGUAGUACCACUCUCUGUAGUACCACUCUCUGUAGUACCGCUCUCUGUAGUACUGCUCUCUGUAGUACUGCUCCCUAUAGUACUGCUCUCUGUAGUACUACUACUCUCUGUAGUACUGCUCCCUGUAGUACUACUCUCUGUAGUACUGCUCUCUGUAGUACUACUCUCUGUAGUACUGCUCUCUGUAGUACUGCUCUCUGUAGUACUACUCUCUGUAGUACUGCUCUCUGUAGUACUGUAGUACUGCUCUCUGUAGUACUGCUCUCUGUAGUACUGCUCUCUGUAGUACUACUCUCUGUUAUCCAAAGCGACCUCCAUUGGUCAGGGUUCCUGUUGUUCUGUGUGGUUCUACCCUCAAGUCCCUCCAUUGGUCAGGGUUCCUGUUGUUCUGUGUGGUUCUACCCUCAAGUCCCUCCAUUGGUCAGGGUUCCUGUUGUUCAGGGUUCUACCCUCCAGUCCAUUGGUCAGGGUUCCUGUUGUUCUGUGUGGUUCUACCCUCCAGUCCAUUGGUCAGGGUUCCUGUUGUUCUGUGUGGUUCUACCCUCCAGUCCAUUGGUCAGGGUUCCUGUUGUUCUGCGUGGUUCUACUGUAGAACGUUGCUCAGAGCCAUGUGUCGGCUCUGGGCCCUCACCAGCCCCGCCGCCGCCACUGGUAAGACCCUCAACUAGUAACUCUAACUAGUGAACUCUAACUCUAACUAGUGAACUCUAACUCUAACUAGUGCCCUAUUUUAACGGUCUGGAACGCAAGUGAGAAGUUCCAAGUAGCUUUGUGGGCGGUUCUACGGCGAUGUUGCUAUUUUACCGGCGCAUAGAUGACACUUGCGCCCGGCACAAAUCUAAAAAAGGGUUGGUCUGAAGUAGCCUAGUUACCCGUAGGUGUGGUUUGGGCGUAACGUCCAACAAACCAAUGAGAGUGCCUGCUCCCAUCCCCUUUAAGAGCCAUGAGCGCAUUUUAACCUGACGAGUUGAUAUUUUGACAGCGCGUCUGCAGCCUCCGAUGAGACAGAUGCAAAUGAAUUUCAAACUUCAAGUGGCUCAGUUUAAAGCCAAAUAAUAUGGCCUAAUUCACACAGGGAAUAGCGUGUUCGGUGUUUGCAGAUGCAUAGAUUUAAAAGUACAACUUAUUACCGCUGUAUCAGCUGUUUUUUCCCAAAUAAUUUACCAAGAAUGUGUGGCUAGGUAGAUGAGAGAAGCAAAGUGUAUGCGCGAGGUGCACAAGCAACAUUAAGCAUGCGCCUAUAAAAUAGCAUCUGAAUAAAAAAGACGUCACUGAUUUUGAACCAGGUACUUUCUGGUUUGUGGCGGAAUUGUUUUCUGAAACUGCAAAAUAGCACCAGGGAAUGUUUGCGCCAGAACACGUCUCCUCCUAUCGUCGAACCUUGGGGCACAAGAUCAUUCCCUAAUUUACAGGCGCGUGGCGGUGGAGGGCAAAGAACGCUCUGCGCCAGUUUCACACUAGCAUGGAAACAUGCGUCAGUGUAGAAAGUCAAUUGCACCGGAUGCACCAUGUUAGGAUAAAAACAUGUCAGUACUUUUUAGCCGUAUGUUUCAUAACACAUUGCGUUGCACUGUUUGUGUUGGACUCCAUUUUGUGUGCUAGGUGCUAAUGCUAAUGCUCCUGUGCUCUCGCCCUGUGCUCCUCAGAGGCGGUACUGGCAGACCUACACCGGGGGGCAGCCCCAACCCCCCCCCAGCUCCCCGCCGGGGGCAGUGGACUCUGAACCAGUCAAUCAUUGAUCGGGUCCAGCUGGACUAUUGAUCAGGAUCCUGAUCAUGUGGAAUGCACUGAUCGGACGCUGAUGUUGUUGAUCGGUCCAAAGGGUAUAACACGAAUGUGCGAAGGGAGUAUAUUCCACCAAGAAAUGGACCUAUAGAAGGAUGUCCUCCUCAUUGCAUUACUCCUACAGUGUGGGAGCACAACUAGCCCUGCUGUUGCAGAUCUAGUACCGUAUGAAUGAGCAUCAGAGCAAAAAACAAUUUCAUUAAAAAGAGCUCUAGGAACAUGAGUGGAAAUUACAUUCUUAAUAAAUAUCAAGGACCUAAUGGAUAACCUAUCAAGAGCUUUAGGCCAGUUGAGAUUAGAAUGCAUCUGAUCUACAUUUGAUCUGUAAGAUCUAUCAAGGGCAAGUCUAGCAGCCCGGUUUUGUACAGUUUGUAGUUUGCUUAAGUCAGUCUUAGAGGCAGAGGCCCAAAUAACAGAACAAUAGUUGAGAUGGCAUAAUACUAAUGUUUGAACAACCUGUCUCCGUAAAGUAGCUGGUAAGUAGGUGGCGUGUGUAGGUGACACACACACACACACACACACACACACACACACACACACACACACACACACACACACACACACACACACACACACACACACACACACUGUGUGUUAUUAUGUCAAAAAGAGAAUUUGAAAAUCUAAAAGACGCUCAAUAAAAUGGUUGAAUUAACAGAUUGAUUUUGACACAAACACGCACACACACACACACACACAC